CCUCUUGAUGAUGAAGAGUUGGUGAUGUACAUCUGCAAUGGGCUUGAUCCCGAGUACAAUCCUUUAGUCUCUGCCCUUGUAACUAGAGUUGAACCUGUUACUCCUGCUGAAUUGUUCUCACAGUUAUUAAGCUUUGAGA